rnacentral:rRNA from 1 species
AUUGAACGCUGGCGGCAGGCCUAACACAUGCAAGUCGAGCGAGCGGCGGACGGGUGAGUAAUGUAUGGGGACUGCCCGAUAGAGGGGGAUAACUACUGGAAACGGUGGCUAAUACCGCAUCCUAUCGGAUAACCCAUAUGGGAUUAGCUAGUAGGUGGGGGAAAGGCUCACCUAGGCGACGAUCUCUAGCUGGUCUGAGAGGAUGAUCGGCCACACUGGCAUUGUGACACGGCCCAAACUCCUACGGAGGCAGCAGGGGGAAAUAUUGCACAAUGGUCGCAAGCCUGAUGCAGCCAUGCCGCGUGGAGGAAGCGGGCCUUAGGGUUUUAAAGUACUUUAAGCGGGGCGGCGUUACCCGCAGAAGAAGCACCGGCUAACUCCGUGCCAGCAGCCGCGGUAAUUC